rnacentral:tRNA from 1 species
GUUCCUGUAGUUAAAUUUCAUAACGGUGGCUUUUCAGGCCAUAGGUCUUGGGGAGGAUCCAGGCAGGAACU